CCUACGGGAGGCAGCAGUGAGGAAUAUUGGUCAAUGGACGAGAGUCUGAACCAGCCAAGUAGCGUGAAGGAUGACUGCCCUAUGGGUUGUAAACUUCUUUUAUAAAGGAAUAAAACGAGGCACGUGUGCCUUUUUGCAUGUACUUUAUGAAUAAGGAUCGGCUAACUCCGUGCCAGCAGCCGCGGUAAUACGGAGGAUCCGAGCGUUAUCCGGAUUUAUUGGGUUUAAAGGGAGCGUAGAUGGGUUGUUAAGUCAGUUGUGAAAGUUUGCGGCUCAACCGUAAAAUUGCAAUUGAUACUGGCAGUCGUGAGUACAGUUGAGGUAGGCGGAAUUCGUGGUGUAGUGGUGAAAUGCUUAGAUAUCACGAAGAACCCCGAUUGCGAAGGCAGCUUACUAAACUGUGACUGACAUUGAUGCUCGAAAGUGUGGGUAUCAAACAGGAUUAGAUACCCGGGUAGUC
rnacentral:rRNA from 1 species